UUUGAGUUUGAUCCUGGCUCAGAUUGAACGCUGGCGGCAUGCCUUACACAUGCAAGUCGAACGGCAGCACGGGGGCAACCCUGGUGGCGAGUGGCGAACGGGUGAGUAAUACAUCGGAACGUGUCCUGUAGUGGGGGAUAGCCCGGCGAAAGCCGGAUUAAUACCGCAUACGCUCUACGGAGGAAAGGGGGGGAUCUUAGGACCUCUCGCUACAGGGGCGGCCGAUGGCAGAUUAGCUAGUUGGUGGGGUAAAGGCCUACCAAGGCGACGAUCUGUAGCUGGUCUGAGAGGACGACCAGCCACACUGGGACUGAGACACGGCCCAGACUCCUACGGGAGGCAGCAGUGGGGAAUUUUGGACAAUGGGCGCAAGCCUGAUCCAGCAAUGCCGCGUGUGUGAAGAAGGCCUUCGGGUUGUAAAGCACUUUUGUCCGGAAAGAAAACGUCGUGGUU
rnacentral:rRNA from 1 species